GGCCUGGUGGUGUAGUGGAAACACAUCUUCUUCAAUUUAACUUGGAUGGUGAGUAGUUUGGAGGAAGACCCCUGUUCAAUUCGGGGUCAGGCCA